AUACGUAGGGAGCGAGCGUUGUCCGGAAUUACUGGGUGUAAAGGGAGCGUAGGCGGGAGUGCGAGUCAGAUGUGAAAUACAUGGGCUCAACCCAUGGGCUGCAUUUGAAACUGCAUUUCUUGAGUGAAGUAGAGGUAAGCGGAAUUCCUAGUGUAGCGGUGAAAUGCGUAGAUAUUAGGAGGAACAUCGGUGGCGAAGGCGGCUUACUGGGCCUUUACUGACGCUGAGGCACGAAAGCGUGGGGAGCAAACAGGAUUAGAUACCCUGGUAGUCCACGCUGUAAACGAUGAUGACUAGGUGUGGGGGGACUGAACCCUUCCGUGCCGCAGUUAACACAAUAAGUCAUCCACCUGGGGAGUACGGCCGCAAGGUUGAAACUCAAAUGAAUUGACGGGG
rnacentral:rRNA from 1 species